GGGGAAUAUUGCGCAAUGGGGGAAACCCUGACGCAGCAACGCCGCGUGGAGGAAGAAGGUCUUCGGAUUGUAAACUCCUGUCUUCUGGGACGAAAAAAAUGACGGUACCAGAGGAGGAAGCCACGGCUAACUACGUGCCAGCAGCCGCGGUAAUACGUAGGUGGCAAGCGUUGUCCGGAAUUAUUGGGCGUAAAGGGCGCGUAGGCGGCAACCUAAGUCAGAUGUGAAACCCCGGGGCUUAACUCCGGACGUGCAUUUGAAACUGGGUAGCUAGAGUGCAGGAGAGGAAAGCGGAAUUCCUAGUGUAGCGGUGAAAUGCGUAGAUAUUAGGAGGAACACCAGUGGCGAAGGCGGCUUUCUGGACUGUAACUGACGCUGAGGCGCGAAAGCGUGGGGAGCAAACA
rnacentral:rRNA from 1 species